CAGCCGCCGCGGUAACACCAGCCCCUCGAGUGGUGGGGACUAUUAUUUGGCCUAAAGCGUCCGUAGCUGGCUGUAUCCGUCUCCCGGUAAAUCCGGCGUCCUAAGCGUCGGUUCUCGGGUGAUACCAUACAGCUAGAGGGUGGGAUAGGUGAGCGGUAUUUCUGGGGUAGGGGCGAAAUCCUUUGAUCCCAGGAGGACCACCAGUGGCGAAGGCUGCUCACUAGAACACGCCUGACGGUCAGGGACGAAAGCUGGGGCAGCGAACCGGAUUAGAUACCCGGGUAGUCCCAGCUGUAAACGAUGCUAGCUAGGUGUUGGGUCGGCCACGCGCCGCCCCAGUGCCGCAGGGAAGCCGUUAAGCUAGCCGCCUGGGGAGUACGGCCGCAAGGCUGAAACUUAAAGGAAUUGGCGGGGGAGCAC
rnacentral:rRNA from 1 species